UUAAGUUAUUAAGGGCGCACGGUGGAUGCCUUGGCACUAGAAGCCGAUGAAGGACGUUACUAACGACGAUAUGCUUUGGGGAGCUGUAAGUAAGCUUUGAUCCAGAGAUUUCCGAAUGGGGAAACCCAGCAUGAGUUAUGUCAUGUUAUCGAUAUGUGAAUACAUAGCAUAUCAGAAGGCACACCCGGAGAACUGAAACAUCUUAGUACCCGGAGGAAGAGAAAGAAAAUUCGAUUCCCUUAGUAGCGGCGAGCGAAACGGGAAGAGCCCAAACCAACAAGCUUGCUUGUUGGGGUUGUAGGACACUCUAUACGGAGUUACAAAGGACGACAUUAGACGAAUCAUCUGGAAAGAUGAAUCAAAGAAGGUAAUAAUCCUGUAGUCGAAAAUGUUGUCUCUCUUGAGUGGAUCCUGAGUACGACGGAGCACGUGAAAUUCCGUCGGAAUCUGGGAGGACCAUCUCCUAAGGCUAAAUACUCUCUAGUGACCGAUAGUGAACCAGUACCGUGAGGGAAAGGUGAAAAGCACCCCGGAAGGGGAGUGAAAUAGAACCUGAAACCGUGUGCUUACAAGUAGUCAGAGCCCGUUAAUGGGUGAUGGCGUGCCUUUUGUAGAAUGAACCGGCGAGUUACGAUUUGAUGCAAGGUUAAGCAGUAAAUGUGGAGCCGUAGCGAAAGCGAGUCUGAAUAGGGCGUUUAGUAUUUGGUCGUAGACCCGAAACCAGGUGAUCUACCCUUGGUCAGGUUGAAGUUCAGGUAACACUGAAUGGAGGACCGAACCGACUUACGUUGAAAAGUGAGCGGAUGAACUGAGGGUAGCGGAGAAAUUCCAAUCGAACCUGGAGAUAGCUGGUUCUCUCCGAAAUAGCUUUAGGGCUAGCCUCAAGUGAUGAUUAUUGGAGGUAGAGCACUUUUUGGACGAGGGGCCCCUCUCGGGUUACCGAAUUCAGACAAACUCCGAAUGCCAAUUAAUUUAACUUGGGAGUCAGAACAUGGGUGAUAAGGUCCGUGUUCGAAAGGGAAACAGCCCAGACCACCAGCUAAGGUCCCAAAAUAUAUGUUAAGUGGAAAAGGAUGUGGCGUUGCCCAGACAACUAGGAUGUUGGCUUAGAAGCAGCCAUCAUUUAAAGAGUGCGUAAUAGCUCACUAGUCGAGUGACACUGCGCCGAAAAUGUACCGGGGCUAAACAUAUUACCGAAGCUGUGGAUUGUCCUUUGGACAAUGGUAGGAGAGCGUUCUAAGGGCGUUGAAGCAUGAUCGUAAGGACAUGUGGAGCGCUUAGAAGUGAGAAUGCCGGUGUGAGUAGCGAAAGACGGGUGAGAAUUCCGUCCACCGAUUGACUAAGGUUUCCAGAGGAAGGCUCGUCCGCUCUGGGUUAGUCGGGUCCUAAGCUGAGGCCGACAGGCGUAGGCGAUGGAUAACAGGUUGAUAUUCCUGUACCACCUAUAAUCGUUUUAAUCGAUGGGGGGACGCAGUAGGAUAGGCGAAGCGUGCGAUUGGAUUGCACGUCUAAGCAGUAAGGCUGAGUAUUAGGCAAAUCCGGUACUCGUUAAGGCUGAGCUGUGAUGGGGAGAAGACAUUGUGGCUUCGAGUCGUUGAUUUCACACUGCCGAGAAAAGCCUCUAGAUAGAAAAUAGGUGCCCGUACCGCAAACCGACACAGGUAGUCAAGAUGAGAAUUCUAAGGUGAGCGAGCGAACUCUCGUUAAGGAACUCGGCAAAAUGACCCCGUAACUUCGGGAGAAGGGGUGCUCUUUAGGGUUAACGCCCAGAAGAGCCGCAGUGAAUAGGCCCAAGCGACUGUUUAUCAAAAACACAGGUCUCUGCUAAACCGUAAGGUGAUGUAUAGGGGCUGACGCCUGCCCGGUGCUGGAAGGUUAAGAGGAGUGGUUAGCUUCUGCGAAGCUACGAAUCGAAGCCCCAGUAAACGGCGGCCGUAACUAUAACGGUCCUAAGGUAGCGAAAUUCCUUGUCGGGUAAGUUCCGACCCGCACGAAAGGCGUAACGAUUUGGGCACUGUCUCAACGAGAGACUCGGUGAAAUCAUAGUACCUGUGAAGAUGCAGGUUACCCGCGACAGGACGGAAAGACCCCGUGGAGCUUUACUGUAGCCUGAUAUUGAAAUUCGGCACAGCUUGUACAGGAUAGGUAGGAGCCUUUGAAACGUGAGCGCUAGCUUACGUGGAGGCGCUGGUGGGAUACUACCCUAGCUGUGUUGGCUUUCUAACCCGCACCACUUAUCGUGGUGGGAGACAGUGUCAGGCGGGCAGUUUGACUGGGGCGGUCGCCUCCUAAAAAGGAAAGGAGGCGCUCAAAGGUUCCCUCAGAAUGGUUGGAAAUCAUUCAUAGAGUGUAAAGGCAUAAGGGAGCUUGACUGCGAGACCUACAAGUCGAGCAGGGUCGAAAGACGGACUUAGUGAUCCGGUGGUUCCGCAUGGAAGGGCCAUCGCUCAACGGAUAAAAGCUACCCCGGGGAUAACAGGCUUAUCUCCCCCAAGAGUUCACAUCGACGGGGAGGUUUGGCACCUCGAUGUCGGCUCAUCGCAUCCUGGGGCUGUAGUCGGUCCCAAGGGUUGGGCUGUUCGCCCAUUAAAGCGGUACGCGAGCUGGGUUCAGAACGUCGUGAGACAGUUCGGUCCCUAUCCGUCGUGGGCGUAGGAAAUUUGAGAGGAGCUGUCCUUAGUACGAGAGGACCGGGAUGGACAUACCUCUGGUGUACCAGUUGUCGUGCCAACGGCAUAGCUGGGUAGCUAUGUGUGGACGGGAUAAGUGCUGAAAGCAUCUAAGCAUGAAGCCCCCCUCAAGAUGAGAUUUCCCAACUUCGGUUAUAAGAUCCCUCAAAGAUGAUGAGGUUAAUAGGUUCGAGGUGGAAGCAUGGUGACAUGUGGAGCUGACGAAUACUAAUCGAUCGAAGACUUAAUCAA
rnacentral:rRNA from 1 species